GGCUCUACCUGCUGUCAUCUUUCUUAAAGCUGACCCUGCUCAGCAGGACCAAUUACCCAGCUAACAAAGUGGAGCCAAGUGACUCCUUGUGCCGCCCCGUCCCCGGAGCUGGAGGCGUUCUGGUUGCCAUGGCAGCGUUGCUUGAGAUCCUGAUAACAGAUAAAGGAACCAGAAGAAGGGAUGGAGGCAUCCCUCCUGCUUUUCUGGAUGGGUUUUCCUGGUUGUUCGUGUUUUUGGAAAACGCCUGUGCAUUCACACACCCCCACCAAGAGGAGCAAACAUCGCCAUCAUGACUGAACACCACUUUUGUGCAGGGCCGCCUGCAUUUAAGCCUUUGUGUGUAUUUCACCUGGAACACCCCAAUUUUUCAUUAUCAGCAUGGAUUUGCCACUGAGGAGCAGCAAUUUUGACACCUGGGAGCUGAGUGCUGUUGGGGCUGGAAGAAGAAAGGGACAACUCCAUUCUGUGCUCAGCGAUUUUGUUGAGUUGGGAGGAUUUGGAGCUCCUUGGAUUGUGGGAAUUAGAAGUGAGAUGAGCAUUACCUGGAAUAGGCUCUAGAUCACACAGACAGAGGGGUCCUACAAUGCACGAGGUGCUGGAGGCCUGGCACUGCUGAAGGUUCAGAUUAAAUUUGGGAGGUCAAACACAUUUGCUGCAGCUGCUUGGCUGUGUCUAUAGAAUUUUCAUUAAUGAGCCGUUGCUUCUUGACUUUACAUGUAUGUGUGAUGGUUGAUUAUGCAGGAUUAUCUUCUGGCAGCACACAGACACCUGCUAAAGAGGGAGUAAUCUUGUUAGGAGCCAAAUCUCAUCUGAUCGUUAAACACGGUGUGCUUACAACCCACUUGUCAGCUCUGCUUAAUUCAGCAUGCAGGGCUCUGUCACAAUGGCUAUUGAUUCAUUGGGAUUGCUUGGCAUCUCUGGAGAUAAUGAUCUCACUGGCUGUUGGGGAAGAUGAAACAGGAAAGCCUUAUCAAUAUCAU